AAAGGGGUGCUUUAAAAAGCUGAGAUUAUACCCGAUGAACCUGUACGGAUAAUGCCGGCGUAGGGAGAGAU
rnacentral:ncRNA from 1 species